rnacentral:lncRNA from 1 species
AGCGCGAGAACGCGAGCCGGCAGCCAGCAGGGACGAGCCACCUGACAUCUGCUGACAGCGUGAGACGGAUCUGAGGCUCCUCUGGCGGUGACAGAAGUAGGCUGCACACACCACGGCUCCGGCCCAAUCAGUGACGAUCUGCAUGGUAAUGUGUGGCAGGGGCGGGAUAAUGAAGUUCCCAGCUUGCCGACUGGAAGGCUAUCCUCCGGUGUGCUGAGUGAUUUAUCUCCUCUGUCAAGAGCCAGGACAGCCAGGACUUGUCCUUCCCCAUGGUCCCCAGGAACAGGAGUCGAGCGGGCGCCAGAUAAGAGACGGAGGCGGCGGCGGAGGAGCCCGGGCUGCGCGCAAAACGCGAAACGGCACCGGCGCGUGGCGUCGCGGCGCGCGAUGGAGAAGACGCCGGUUGAGUCCGUGGCCACAGCCUUGUGCCUGACAGUGAUGGUGUUGUUCCGCCGCUCACUGUUGGCCUGCUUCUCCUCCGACAGCAACCCAGCUCCUGACUCCUAAUUGGUGGAAACGCUAGCAGCAUCUGGUUCUGGUGAGUGUCUUUGUCGUGUCUGAUGGCGGUUAUCCAGCCGUUUGACAGCUGGUUGCCAUAACGUCAUCACCUUGGCGACAGACCGGACUCUGGCGCUGUUCUGGAGUACCUGCCACUCAGCAUUACAGCCACUCUCGCAGAAGAGACAGGGCAUUUCAUGCAUGCAAGAAAUAAGGCAGUUUGAGAGUCAAAUUUGAUAAUAAGCUUAUUCCAGCCCCCCCCACACACACCACCACCGCACACCACGGCAGCAGCCCUGCUCACACGCCUGUGGAAAACACACUAAUAUUUUACUGGGUGAAUUAUUUGGCCAGUUAACUUUAAAACAUUGUGUCGACAGUGCGUGCUGUCAGUGCGUCGUCUCAUUUGAAGCCAUUUUUC